rnacentral:rRNA from 1 species
CCUACGGGAGGCAGCAGUGGGGAAUAUUGCACAAUGGGGGAAACCCUGAUGCAGCGACGCCGCGUGAGUGAAGAAGGAUUUCGGUAUGUAAAGCUCUGUCAGCAGGGAAGAAAAUGACGGUACCUGAACAAGAAGCCCCGGCUAACUACGUGCCAGCAGGCGCGGUAAUACGUAGGGGGCAAGCGUUAGCCGGAUUUACUGGGUGUAAAGGGAACGUAGACGGAAGGGACAGUCUGGAGUGAAAGGCGGGGGCUCAACCCCCGGACUGCUCUGGAUAGUGACAGGCUGGAGUGCAGGAGAGGGAAGUGGAAUUCCUAGUGUAGCGGUGAAAUGCGUAGAUAUUAGGAGGAACACCAGUGGCGAAGGCGGCUUACUGGACUGUAACUGACGUUGAGGUGCGAAAGCGUGGGGAGCAAACAGGAUUAGAUACCCUAGUAGUC